UGGCAUCUUUAGUAAACCCCUCAGUUGCCAACUGUAGCCUCUGGGACAAGAAAAGGUGCUAGAUCAAACUUAGAACAUCCAAAACUAAGAGCCGCUUGUCUGACACUCUUGGUUAUUUCAUCUCUAAGACACCAAU